CGAUACCCCAGUCAGGCGGG
rnacentral:rRNA from 5 species